rnacentral:rRNA from 1 species
UACGUAGGUGGCAAGCGUUAUCCGGAAUUAUUGGGCGUAAAGCGCGCGCAGGCGGUCUUCCAAGUCAGUGGUGAAAGCCCGGAGCUCAACUCCGGAAUUGCCAUUGAAACUGUAAGACUUGAGGAUGAGAGAGGUGAGUGGAAUUCCCAGUGUAGAGGUGAAAUUCGUAGAUAUUGGGAAGAACACCGGUGGCGAAGGCGGCUCACUGGCUCAUUUCUGACGCUCAGGCGCGACAGCGUGGGGAUCAAACAGG